UCUGGUUGAUCCUGCUGAACUGAUGUGUUCAUUUCAAAGAUUAAGCCAUGCAUGUAUAAGUUUAAUCGUUUUAACGAGAAACCGCGAACGGCUCAUUACAAUGGCCAUGAUUUACUUGAUCUUGAUUAUCUAAAUGGAUAACUGUGGAAAAGCUAGAGCUAAUACAUGCACCAAAGCUUUGUCCUCUCGGAAAAGCGCAUUUAUUAGAACAAAACCACGCGGCUUCGGCUGCUUCUUGUUGACUCAGAAUAACUAAGCUGACCGCAUGGCCUUGUGCCGGCGGCGUGUCUUUCAAGCGUCCACUUUAUCAACUUGACGGGAGCAUAAUCGACUCCCGUGGUGGUGACGGAUAACGGAGGAUCAGGGUUCGACUCCGGAGAAGGGGCCUGAGAAAUGGCCACUACGUCUAAGGAUGGCAGCAGGCGCGCAAAUUACCCACUCUCGGCUCGAGGAGGUAGUGACGAGAAAUAACGAGAUCGUUCUCUUUGAGGCCGGUCAUCGGAAUGGGUACAAUUUAAACCCUUUAACGAGUAUCAAGCAGAGGGCAAGUCUGGUGCCAGCAGCCGCGGUAAUUCCAGCUCUGCUAAUACAUAGAAUUAUUGCUGCGGUUAAAAAGCUCGUAGUUGGAUUCGUAUCGGUACCCUGGAACCCUCCGGGUGUUUCUGGGUGUUAUCGAUUUAUCGUAAUGUUCGGUUUUGAGUCCUUAACGGGAUUCUUAACAGGCAUUGCAAGUUUACUUUGAACAAAUCAGAGUGCUUCAAACAGGCGUUUUUGCUUGAAUGAUCGUGCAUGGAAUAAUAGAAAACGAUUUCGGUUCAGUUUUAUUGGUUUUACGGACUGAGAUAAUGGUUAACAGAGACAAACGGGGGCAUUUGUAUGGCCCGUGAGAGGUGAAAUUCUUGGACCGUGGCCAGACAAACUACAGCGAAAGCAUUUGCCAAGAAUGUCUUCAUUAAUCAAGAACGAAAGUCAGAGGUUCGAAGGCGAUCAGAUACCGCCCUAGUUCUGACCGUAAACGAUGCCAACUAGCGAUCCGCCGAUGGAAAUUAUAUUGCCUUUGUGGGGAGCUUCCCGGAAACGAAAGUCUUCCGGUUCCGGGGGAAGUAUGGUUGCAAAGCUGAAACUUAAAGGAAUUGACGGAAGGGCACCACCAGGAGUGGAGCCUGCGGCUUAAUUUGACUCAACACGGGGAAACUCACCCGGCCCGGACACUGUGAGGAUUGACAGAUUGAUAGCUUUUUCAUGAUUCAGUGGAUGGUGGUGCAUGGCCGUUCUUAGUUCGUGGAGUGAUUUGUCUGGUUUAUUCCGAUAACGAGCGAGACUCUAACCUACUAAAUAGCUGGUACAUAAUUUAAGUGUAUACAGCUUCUUAGAGGGAUUUGCGGUGUUCAGCCGAAAGAAAUUGAGCAAUAACAGGUCUGUGAUGCCCUUAGAUGUCCGGGGCUGCACGCGCGCUACACUGGCAAAAUCAACGUGCUUGUCCUACCCCGAAAGGGGCGGGUAAACCAUUGAAAAUUUGCCGUGAUUGGGAUCGGAAAUUGCAAUUAUUUACCGUGAACGAGGAAUUCCAAGUAAGUGCGAGUCAUCAGCUCGCGUUGAUUACGUCCCUGCCCUUUGUACACACCGCCCGUCGCUGCCCGGGACUGAGCCAUUUCGAGAAAUUUGGGGACCGUUGAUUUAAUUUUUCUAAAUUACUUUGAUGGAAACCAAUUUAAUCGCAGUGGCUUGAACCGGGCAAAAGUCGUAACAAGGUAGCUGUAGGUGAACCUGCUGCUG
rnacentral:rRNA from 1 species